GCAGAGUGGUUAUCGCGCAAGACUAGAAAUCUUGUUCCUUCGGGAGCGUCAGUUCGAAUCUGGC
rfam:Pyrenophora teres f. teres 0-1 contig_002224, whole genome shotgun sequence.